UCCCCACCACCACCACCACCGCUGGAAAAAUUCCCAGGGGAAACACUGAGAUCUCUGAUUUUUUUAUCAGAUUUGGUGCUAAAUACUGAUAAGGUCAUUGUAGUGGGGGAUUUUAAUAUUCAUGUGAACAUUGAAAAUGAUAGCCUCAAUGUAGCCUUUACUAAUAUCUUAGACUCAAUUGGUUUUACUCAAAGAAUACAUAGCUCCACCCACUCCUGCUAUCAUACAUUGGACCUUGUGCUGACUUAUGGCAUUGAGUGUGAGGCAAUAAUCUUUCCACAUAAUCCAGUCCUCUCGGACCACUUUCUGAUAACCUUUGAGUUUUUUAUAACUGAGUUCUCGAGACAUGAAAGUAAAUUUCACUAUAGUCGGUCUCUAUCUGACAACGCAGUUGCAUCUUUUAAAUCAACUGUUCCAUCUUUACUGUCCUCAGCAUCUCAGAGGCAUGUAGCAGAGGGCAAUAUUUUCAGUUCUAGCCCCUCACAAAUUGAUGCCUUAGUUCAUCAUGUUAAUUCCUCUUUACGUGUGGCAUUAGAUGAUGUUGCCCCUUUAAAAAAGAAGGUAAUUAGGGACAGGAAGUUGGCUCCCUGGUUUAAUUCUCAUUUACGAGCCUUAAAACAAAACUCUAGGAAAUUGGAGAGAACAUGGCGCUCUACGCACCAUGAGGAGGCCUACCUAUCCUGGAAAAAUAGUCUUGUGCUUUAUAAAAAUAAGCUUCGACAAACUAGAACUGCUUAUUUCUCAGCAUUAAUUGAGGAGAAUAAGCAUAAUCCUAAAUUUCUUUUCAGUACAGUUGCUAAACUUACACAGAAUCAUAGCUCUGAGCCAUCUAUUCCCUUAGCCCUCAGCAGCAAUGACUUCAUGGGAUUUUUUACAAGUAAAAUUAAUUCUAUUAGAAACAAAAUCUUUAGCAUCCUCCCUAAUGCGAUUUCUUCUUCCUCAGUAAGUGAGGCAGCAUCAGAGGUGACUGUAGAACCUCAUCUGUGCUUGAACCGUUUUGAUCCAGUUGAGCUUUCAGAGUUAUCAAAAAUAUUAGCUUCAUCUAAACCUUCAACUUGCAUUUUGGAUCCAAUCCCAACCAAAUUAUUUAAAGAUGCAUUUCCUUUGGUUACUGCCCCCAUUCUAGAUAUAAUCAAUCUAUCCUUAGUAAAU
rnacentral:lncRNA from 1 species